rnacentral:rRNA from 1 species
UACGUAGGGUGCAAGCGUUAAUCGGAAUUACUGGGCGUAAAGCGUGCGCAGGCGGCUAUGCAAGACAGAUGUGAAAUCCCCGGGCUCAACCUGGGAACUGCAUUUGUGACUGCAUGGCUAGAGUACGGUAGAGGGGGAUGGAAUUCCGCGUGUAGCAGUGAAAUGCGUAGAGAUGCGGAGGAACACCGAUGGCGAAGGCAGCCCCCUGGGCUAACACUGACGCUCAGGCACGAAAGCGUGGGGAGCAAACAGG